GGCGAGGUUUCCCGGGCAGAGCUGUCACUUCGAGCUCGCGCUGGGGGAGAAACGUCGAAAGGAGGAUUUGUCGUCUGUAUUUCGGUGGAAAGGGAGACCGUGUUAAUGAGCGACGAGGUUUCCCGGGCAAAGCUUUCACUUCGAGCUCGCGCUGGGGCAGAAACGUCGAAAGGAGGAUUCGUCGUCUGUAUUUCGGUGGAAAGGGAGACCAUGUUAACGAGCGACUUUCAGCCAAAUACACCUGUGGCAGCAGGAGGCAGCGCACGCUUCCCAGGCACUGAUUUCACAUCGAGCACCGAUGGAGGUUAAAGGUCGUAAGAACCCUAACCCUACACAGAGCAGGUCUCCCCAAAGGAUGUCACUUCCUCGUCUCUGUCAAUCCCUGAUGCGACAGAGGGGGAAGAGGAGUUUACUCUGUCUCUAGGUCCAACAAGUGUUCCAGAUGGUUGAUCCAGGUUACGACGGUGAGGAAUCAUAAUGCCUUAUAAUGCCUUAUAAAGCCAUUAGCAGUGCCUAAAUAUGCCUUAUAAUGCCUUAUCGUGCCUU